rnacentral:rRNA from 1 species
UUAAACUGAAGAGUUUGAUCAUGGCUCAGAUUGAACGCUGGCGGCAGGCCUAACACA